UACGUAGGGACCAAGCGUUGUUCGGAAUUACUGGGCGUAAAGGGCUCGUAGGUGGCCAACUAAGUCAGACGUGAAAUCCCUCGGCUUAACCGGGGAACUGCGUCUGAUACUGGAUGGCUUGAGUUCGGGAGAGGGAUGCGGAAUUCCAGGUGUAGCGGUGAAAUGCGUAGAUAUCUGGAGGAACACCGGUGGCGAAGGCGGCAUCCUGGACCGACACUGACGCUGAGGAGCGAAAGCCAGGGGAGCAAACGGG
rnacentral:rRNA from 1 species